UACGUAGGGGGCAAGCGUUGUCCGGAUUUACUGGGCGUAAAGAGCGUGUAGGCGGCCAAGCAGGUCCGUUGUGAAAACUGGAGGCUUAACCUCCAGACGUCGACGGAAACCGCGUGGCUAGAGUCCGGAAGAGGAGAGUGGAAUUCCUGGUGUAGUGGUGAAAUGACGCAGAUAUCAGGAAGAACACCAAUGGCGAAGGCAGCUCUCUGGGACGGUACUGACGCUGAGACGCGAAAGCGUGGGGAGCGAACAGG
rnacentral:rRNA from 1 species